rnacentral:lncRNA from 14 species
UGACGGGUGGCAUCUGGGGAUAGUGGAGCGCCCGCCCAGCCCCACAGGGUGAGGACAGACAUAUGCAGGGAAAAGAUACUGCUGAGUUUCUCACAAGGGGAAAAUGAGCUGUAGGACACAGAGGGCACAACUUGUCUUUGAAGCAGCCAGGCAGAGCCACCGUCCUCCUGACACCUCUGUUCUGCAGCCCUGCAAAUGCGCCAGUGGCCAGUGCCAGCCUGACAGCCCCUCUGCAUCCUCACUGGACUUAGCUGCACACCUUGGCAUCCUGGGCUUUCCCUCUGUCUCCAGAAGCCAUCGCACUGAACAGAUGCCACAGGCUGGUGGGUACCUGCCAGAAAAACCCAGCAUGGGAGCUGCUGUUGAACCAGAAAACUGAUGGAGGUGUUUAACAAGGUGGUGACAAGGAGGGGCAGCCCCCAGGACUCCUGCCAAGCAAGCCCUUCUGGGAUGCUCUGCCCAGGGCUUGCCUUUCCACUCCUUACUGUGAACAGGUAGGGACACCUUGGUGAGGGAGACCAGCGGAUUUACU